rnacentral:lncRNA from 1 species
GAUAUUUUCUUUGCCUGGUUAGGCUGUCAAACACCCUGACCUCGUCAAUGUUUUAAAAGGUAGGAGUUGUUACAGUUCUCAGUCCCCUAAGAGGCUGACCAAGUGCUGAGAGGGGCUCCCAGCUUCUCUGCAUUCUGGAAAACCCACCGCAGAGCCCCGCCCUAGUGUGCUUCCGGUAAGAAACCAAAGAAAAAAGCCUACUGUCUGGUCCCUAGCAUUGGCUGCCCACCCUCUGAAAAGCGACUGAGUCCUUGAGUCUCCUGGGAUGUUCAUAUGAAUCCCCUUGAAGCUUUAAUUUGAUAAGACCUCAGUGGAGACUGCUGAACCCCUGGGAUUUAACAUCAUAUAUUAUUCAUUGUUGCUGUUGCCACAGACGUGCUGAUUUUGCCCCUGCUGAGCAAGGCACUUCUGCACAUGGGAACUUGAUGGCUAACCACACUGCAUGUUCUUCAGGCAGGGCCUAUCCCAGAACGUUCCAAGCUGUCUGCUAGCAAGUCUGCAUUAACUCCCUCAAUGCUGCAUGCACGGUGUCCCUGAGUCCUUCACCACCCGCCCCGCCACCAGAGCCAGUCUUUUUAAGAAUUUUGCCUGGGCUGUGUUUUUCAAAGUGCCUCUCUCUAGUGUGCAUCUCUUCUUAAUCACAGAAAGCAGAUCUGAGAGCUUCUAAUGCACUUCUCUAUUACUUCAAGAACACUGUGUAUAAUAAUAAACUCUACAGAAAUAAACCAAAUCACAAGAAGCUUUCAGGUCUGGAGGCUGACAUUUCUCAAGACAGAUGCAAAAACCCAGGCCCAGAGAGAUGAAGAAACCUGGCUAAGGUAACAUCUCCUUGAAGCUAGAAAUGGCCUACCUGUAGAAUCUGUCUUCACUUCAAAGUCAGUGGAGUGCACAGUUUUAUUGUCGUGUUGAAC